GAUGAACGCUAGCUACAGGCUUAACACAUGCAAGUCGCGGGGCAGCAUGGGGGUUGCUUGCAACCCCUGAUGGCGACCGGCGCACGGGUGAGUAACGCGUAUCCAACCUGCCCUUCACCACGGGAUAACCCGGCGAAAGUCGGACUAAUACCGUAUGUGGUCCAUUGACGGCACCCGAUUUGGACGAAAGGCUUGGGGGUGAAGGGGGGGGGGUGCGUCCGAUUUGCUUGGCGGGGGGGUAACGGCGUACCGGGGCCCGGGUCGGUAGGGGUUCUGGAGGGAAGGUCCCCCACACUGGAACUGAGACACGGUCCAGACUCCUACGGGAGGCAGCAGUGAGGAAUAUUGGUCAAUGGGCGUAAGCCUGAACCAGCCAAGUAGCGUGCAGGAGGACGGCCCUAUGGGUUGUAAACUGCUUUUAUGCGGGGAUAAAGUGGCCCACGUGUGGGCUUUUGCAGGUACCGCAUGAAUAAGGACCGGCUAAUUCCGUG
rnacentral:rRNA from 1 species